rnacentral:lncRNA from 1 species
CAGCAAUGCAGGGCAAAGAUGACUGGUGAGACACACGUCUACACAAACGCAUACAGCUAUGAGGCGACAGUGUGGUGACAUGCCUCAUACAGACUGUCCCAGUAAGCCAGGACAAGUCACCAUUAAAAUCUUGCACGAACAGCCCUGGGCACGUGGGAAUGGUAAGAAAGAGCCACCGCCUCCUUAGUCAGCUUAACCACAGCUCCAAACGCAGUUUGUCCCAGCUGGCAAACGCCUCAAACACCAAUCAUGCGUCGUGCUCCUAUUCUGGGUUUUUAUAAAACACUUUUAUAUAGAGAUAUAGAUAGCACAGUAAAUGUGCUUAUGAUGCACUCUAACAUAGAGGACAGGAAUACACACUGUGGGGCGCCGCCCCAGCCGUCUCCACAGUGGAGAAAGUGCGAGGGUUAAAUACACGUGGCGGGGUGGCAGACGGCAGGAAGUUAGAGAGCGCCACGCUCCACGUCCUUCCACGCGACUGACUCAUCCAACACUCAGAACUCACCUUCUUUAUCCCCUUGGUGGGUAGGAGCAGUAACAAAACAAUGUCAGUCAUUUUCUAAGGGUGGAGGAUGUCAAACUGUCUGGUACCGAGAGAGCAAUUCUUAUCCAGAAAUCAUCUAGAAAUAAUUGUUGAAGGUCAGCCUGGCCCAUGGCCCCAGGCUAAGGGCUGCUCUGUAAAGGGCGGGACUGGCUCUGGGGGUCUAGGGCUGAUGCAGUAUCUCUCAGACACUUGCACAUUCACACACCCACACGCCCCAGGGGAAAGUGCACUUCCAAUGCUGAUACAAAAAUAGAUUGGCACACUCUUUGACACAGUGAGGGUAUCUUUUAAAAGUUUUCCCCCAAUUUCUGCAGACUCUCUUCCCCCGUAUGCUCAAGCCCCUCACACUCCAAGUUGGAACAGAUCUGGAGAAGGCCCUGGACCACGCUUGCAAAGUUUGUGAAUGCCGGGGAGAAAGACUGGGCUGGCGUAGCUAGGGAUUCUCGCUAGUGGACAGAGGGUAGGGCCUCUCUGUUCUCAGCACGCACCUCCUCUUCCCUUGCUUGAGGAGUCCAUAGCUCAUGGCUCCUCUUGGCUACACACCCAAGACUCCUUGGAAAGUUUCUAGUACUGCUUCUCCCCAAACUAUGUCGAGAGGAAGAAAAGUCUGGUAUUCUGAGUUCUACUUUUUUUCAUUUCCAGUAGUAAGUAAGUGCUGCUCCACCAAGCUGAGAAGAAAUGGCCCUUGGCUGUCCUCGGGGCCAGUGCUAGGAACUCUGGACCAGCCGUCUGUAGUGGGGCAUGACUUCGUGCUCGGGCAAGUGGAGGGCGAAUUCCAAGGCCACUAACACCGGGAAUUCAAAGGCAAUCAGUUCUCGCCUGUUCAGCCGGAAC